GACGAACGCUGGCGGCGUGCUUAACACAUGCAAGUCGAACGAGUGGCGAACGGGUGAGUAAUACGUGGGUAACCUGCCCUCUUUUUGGGAUAAGCCUUGGAAACGGGGUCUAAUACCGAAUAAAGGGGGAUGGGCUCGCGGCCUAUCGGCUUGUUGGUGGGGUGAUGGCCUACCAAGGCGGUGACGGGCAGCCGGCCUGAGAGGGUGACGGGCAACAUUGGGCUGGGGAUACGGCCCAGACUCCUACGGGAGGCAGCAUGGGGGGAUUUUGCACAAUGUGGGAAGGCCUGAGGCAGGGGCGCGGCGUGGGGGAUGAGGGCUUUCGGGUUGUAAACCUCUUUCGCUCUCGAACGGGUAGGUGGAGAAGAAGCGCCGGCUAACUACGUGCCAGCAGCCGCGGUAAUAC
rnacentral:rRNA from 1 species